UACAGCAGACCCUCCUGACCAGGUGCCUGGUGAGAUCAAGCACUACAGCACACCCUCCUGACCAGGUGCCCGGUGAGAUCAUCGCACUACAGCAGACCCUCCUGACCAGGUGCCUGGAAAGAUCAAGCACUACAGCAGACCCUCCUGACCAGGUGCCUGGAGAGAUCAAGCACUACAGCAGACCCUCCUGACCAGGUGCCUGGUGAGAUCAAGCACUACAGCAGACCCUCCUGACCAGGUGCCUGGUGAGAUCAAGCACUACAGCAGACCCUCCUGACCAGGUGCCUGGUGAGAUCAAGCACUACAGCAGACCCUCCUGUCCAGGUGCCUGGAGAGAUCAAGCACUACAACAGACCCUCCUGACCAGGUGCCUGGUGAGAUCAAGCACUACAGCAGACCCUCCUGACCAGGUGCCUGGUGAAAUCAAGCAGACUCCUGAGGGCUGGCCUUUGUUAGCAGCUCUGAUAUCCGCCCUCGAGCUCCUGGGUGUAAAGAGGCGAUAGGCUUGGUCUGGGAUCUGAGGAUGGCCACUGAUCUUCAGUUCUCCUGAGCAGUUGUGUAAUCCAACAUUCUAGAUUGGGUAGACAUUUAGUGGUAAAAUGAACAGUGGGAAACACAAAUAUCAAGAGAAAAAUGUAUGACAAAAUGUAUUUCUUUUCUUUUAACUGUAGACAAAAGAGUGUGUUUGGUACGUCAAUGGAUAUUUGUUUGUUUUUAAAGAUAAAGAGAGAGUCCAUCAGAAAAGAAAGAAACCAUUGCAGGAUGAACCAGCACAGAACGGAAGACAAGAAAGUGUGAACGGACGAGGCUUCUACUCGACCUAUGUCCCAGACUUUUCCAGGUACGAAGGGAGAUCCCACUUUCCUGCUGAUAACGCUGGCAGCUUGUGUGAGACAGGUGCUAUAAGCGCGCCUUUAAAGAAUUCGUAUGGAGGAGGACGCUAAAUCAGAAGAUAAAUGAAUCAAAUAAAACGUAGCUACUCUAAGGUGUGCAAAGGAAAUGUAACAAUAAACACCCGCAGAAAAUUACAUUUAUCAACUUUUAACAACCGUUUUUUGUAAAUCAUGGAGGGAAACAUUAAAGUUAUCACGUACAUUUUUACCCCUUUACACUGAGAUUUCCAGCUCAGAUUCCUUCUCUCUCUGUCAUAAUGCCCGAAGGCAGUAUUAUUUUAUUUAUUUAUUUAUUUAUUUAUUUAGGAGCGCAUUCCAUCUAUACAUUUAAAUGAUUAGCGCCCUCUGUCUGUAGUCAUUAGUUUCUUAUUUUGUCUUUAUUUAUCAUUAAGCACAGUUAAUGAGUCUGUAAAUAGGACUGCUUUCUUAGGAUUUAAUUCUGCUAUUUUUAAUUAUCGCAAAUACAAUAGCUACCAUUUUUUUGUAGACAUUAUUAUUAUUAUUAGUAGUAGUAGUAGUAGUAGUCGUAGUAGUCCUAUUUAAGACCCAGGGCGGACUACACCAACUGCCCAGUGGCAGCCGGUGCAAAAUUUAAAAUUCAAUUUAGCAACCUAAACAAAAAGGGGUGCUAACAAAGACUGGGCCUUAACAAACGAAAAGAAAACUGGUCAAAAAGGACUGUAAAUUAAAUGUUCAAAACAAAAGGGGAGGUGGUACAGAGCACGCCCCCUAGAGCCCACUGGUCGACAAAAGAUGUCAUGUCGCCAGCAGACUCCGCGUGGGCAUGCUCUAACUUAACCCGAGAUCGGGCGAGGGCCCUGAACAUGGCCCCACAA